rnacentral:rRNA from 1 species
UGGGGAAUUUUGGACAAUGGGCGCAAGCCUGAUCCAGCAAUGCCGCGUGUGUGAAGAAGGCCUUCGGGUUGUAAAGCACUUUUGUCCGGAAAGAAAACCUCGUGGUUAAUACCCGUGGGGGAUGACGGUACCGGAAGAAUAAGCACCGGCUAACUACGUGCCAGCAGCCGCGGUAAUACGUAGGGUGCAAGCGUUAAUCGGAAUUACUGGGCGUAAAGCGUGCGCAGGCGGUUCGCUAAGACAGAUGUGAAAUCCCCGGGCUUAACCUGGGAACUGCAUGUAUGAGUGGCGGGAUAGAGUAUGGCAGAGGGGGAUAGAAUUCCACGUGAAGCAGUAAAAUGCGUAGAGAUGUGGAGGAAUACCGGUGACGAAGGCAGCCCCCUGGGCCAAUACUGACGCUCAUGCACGAAAGGGUGGGGAGCAAACAGG